AAAUUGAGGUGAAACAAUUAACAACACUAAAACAAUUGUUAACUAGUUUUGUUUAAUCAACACAAACAAUUGUGAUCAUCUUCACUUUACCCAAAGUAAAAUUGAAUGGCCAUGAGUUUGAUGAAUUUGAAAAGCUAAAAUAUACAAAUGAAUGGCGAUGGAACCAAAGAAAAGACUGACAAUUGAUUUCAACUCAACUUGGACUUAGACUGUCAACAAACUGUUUACAAUCCAGUCUUUUUAAUUGUUAUUAUUUUUAUACCAUUCAAUCAACUGCUUGUCAUUGUCAUUCAUUCAAUUCUGUGCGCUGGGUGUUGGUUCAAUAGAGAUUAUCUUCAAUAAUAAUUAACUUUUUCACAGUCAAAACUGGUUAACAUGAGAUUUCCUGGUGAGAAGUAUAACAAGAGAAAGUUGAUCAUCAUAAUCAUCCUCAAAAUUUAUCCGGUUAAUUAAACAGUUGGACUAAGAUGUUGAAGAGGCCAAACAAUGAGCUUGGAUCAGCUGUUUUACAAUUAGCGUUUUAAUCGCAAUCAACUGAGAACAUAAAUUUGUCUCUAACAUUGACCGGGAAAUCAGGUUAACCCGCUCUUCAUGAUGAUUAGUUGAUUGUUUGUGAAAAUUAAUAAAAAGGCAACAAAAACAGUUAAAACAAAAAACGUUAAUCAAAUAGAUGUUAAUAAACUGUGACUAUAAAAAUCUAUUAAUUUUAUGUGUGUUUCACUGAGUAACUAAAAAUAUCAAAACUUCUCAAAAUAUUGUAUUUGCUUGCUGUUAAUUGUAAUUAAAUGGAC